rnacentral:rRNA from 1 species
GCUAAAAAGCUAGCUUAAACACUAAAAAAUAACCAAAAAAUAUAAAUAAUACAAAAAUAUCUCAAAUAACAAAAUAAAACAUUUUUCCACCCUAGUACGAGAGACGGAAAAGGCAUUAAAAGCUAUAGAAAAAGUACCGCAAGGGAAAGCUGAAAAAGAAAUGAAAUAAACCAUAUAAGCACAAAAAAGCAAAGCCUACCCCUUGUACCUUUUGCAUCAUGAUUUAGCCAGCACACUACAAGCAAAGAGACCUUUAGUUUGAAACCCCGAAACUAAGUGAGCUACCCCGGGACAGCCAAAAGGGCCAACCCGUCUCUGUGGCAAAAGAGUGGGAAGAGCCCCGGGUAGAGGUGAUAAACCUACCGAACUUAGUGAUAGCUGGUUGCCUAAAAAAUGAAUAAUAGUUCAGCCUCAUACCCCUCCACCCAACUAAGAAAUAUCUGAAAAAGUUUAAGAGAGAAAUAUGAGAGUUAAUUAAAGGGGGUACAGCCCCUUUAAUAAAGGACACAACCUUAAACAAGAGGAUAAGGAUCAUAAUUCACAAAACAGUCACCCCAGUGGGCCUAAAAGCAGCCACCUGAUCAGAAAGCGUUAAAGCUCAAAUGACAAUAAACUUAUUAUACUGAUAAAUAAUCCAACUCCCCUAAAAACAUUAGGCUGCUCCAUGCCAACAUGGAAGAAACUAUGCUAAAAUGAGUAACAAGAGACCUAACUCUCCAAACACAAGUGUAAACCAGAUCGGACCAUCCACUGGAAAUUAACGAACCCAAAAAAGAGAGCAAUGUGCUAAACAAACAAGAAAACCCCACAACACAAAAUCGUUAAACUUACACUAGAGUGUAAAAAAGGAAAGACUAAAAGACAAGGAAGGAACUCGGCAAACACAAGUCCCGCCUGUUUACCAAAAACAUCGCCUCCUGCAACCACUAAUAGGAGGUCCAGCCUGCCCAGUGACUACAAGUUCAACGGCCGCGGUAUUUUGACCGUGCAAAGGUAGCGCAAUCACUUGUCUUUUAAAUGAAGACCUGUAUGAAUGGCCAAACGAAGACUUAGCUGUCUCCCCUGUCAUGUCAGUGAAAUUGAUCUAUCCGUGCAGAAGCGGAUAUAAUAAUACAAGACGAGAAGACCCUUUGGAGCUUAAGGUACAAGCCCAGCUACGUUAAACAACUUUCUUAACAAGUAUUAAACCUAAUAAAAUGUGGAACUUUACCUUCGGUUGGGGCGACCAUGGGGGACAAAAGAUCCCCCAAGUGAACUGGGAUUAUUCCUAGAACCAAGAAAGACAUUUCUAAGCCACAUAAAAUCUGAUCAUUAAGAUCCGGCUCUAUAGCCGAUCAACGAACCAAGUUACCCUAGGGAUAACAGCGCAAUCCCCUCCAAGAGUCCAUAUCGACGAGAGGGUUUACGACCUCGAUGUUGGAUCAGGACAUCCUAAUGGUGCAGCCGCUAUUAAGGGUUCGUUUGUUCAACGAUUAAAGUCCUACGUGAUCUGAGUUCAGACCGGAGUAAUCCAGGUCAGUUUCUAUCUGUAGUGUCAUUUCUCCUAGUACGAAAGGACCGGAGAAAGGAGGCCAAUGCUAAAAGCAAGCCUCACCCCUAAUUAAUGAAGGCAACUAAAUUAAAUAAAGAAGGACUCAAAACGAGCCUAAAUAAGGCUAU